GGUGAACGCUAGCGAUAGGCUUAACACAUGCAAGUCGAGGGGCAGCAUGGUCUUAGCUUGCUAAGACUGAUGGCGACCGGCGCACGGGUGCGUAACGCGUAUGCAACUUGCCUCACAGAGGGGGAUAACCCGUCGAAAGACGGACUAAUACCGCGUACACUCCAUCUUGGGCAUCCAAGGUAGAGGAAAUGAAAUUCGCUGUGAGAUAGGCAUGCGUCCCAUUAGCUAGUUGGUGAGGUAACGGCUCACCAAGGCGACGAUGGGUAGGGGAACUGAGAGGUUGAACCCCCACACUGGUACUGAGACACGGACCAGACUCCUACGGGAGGCAGCAGUGGGGAAUAUUGGUCAAUGGGCGAGAGCCUGAACCAGCCAAGUCGCGUGAAGGAUGACUGUCUUAUGGAUUGUAAACUUCUUUUAUACGGGAAUAACAAGAGCCACGUGUGGCUCCCUGCAUGUACCGUAUGAAUAAGCAUCGGCUAACUCCGUGCCAGCAGCCGCGGUAAUACGGAGGAUGCGAGCGUUAUCCGGAUUUAUUGGGUUUAAAGGGUGCGUAGGCGGCCUGUUAAGUCAGCGGUGAAAUCUAGGAGCUUAACUCCUAAAUUGCCAUUGAUACUGGCGGGCUUGAGUGUAGAUGAGGUAGGCGGAAUGCGUGGUGUAGCGGUGGAAUGCAUAGAUAUCACGCAGAACUCCGAUUGCGAAGGCAGCUUACUAAGGUACAACUGACGCUGAAGCACGAAAGCGUGGGUAUCAAACAGG
rnacentral:rRNA from 1 species